rnacentral:tRNA from 2 species
GCCGGGAUGCUGGAAUGGUAGACAGGCUAGUCUCAAAAACUAGUGAGCCGAAACGCUCGUGUGGGUUCGAGUCCCUCCCCCGGCACCA